rnacentral:rRNA from 1 species
UACGUAGGGCGCAAGCGUUGUCCGGAAUUAUUGGGCGUAAAGAGCUCGUAGGCGGCUUGUCACGUCGGGUGUGAAAGCCCGAGGCUUAACCCCGGGUCUGCAUUCGAUACGGGCUAGCUAGAGUGUGGUAGGGGAGAUCGGAAUUCCUGGUGUAGCGGUGAAAUGCGCAGAUAUCAGGAGGAACACCGGUGGCGAAGGCGGUUCUCUGGGCAUGUCCUGACGCUGAGGAGCGAAAGUGUGGGGAGCGAACAGG